GUUGUGUUUUUAUGUAGUAACUUAGCUGUUAAGAUUGCUGGUGGACUUGGUUAGCCAAGAGGAAGCUUUUAACAGUUCUCUGCCUAACAAGAGGUGUCAGAUCUCAGAUUAAGAUAUGACAGCUUCAAGAAUGUUAGAAUGCCCUUGCCAUGAACACCAUUUCAGAGUGUAGUUCAGUCAUUAAGAUCCUUGGAGUGUGGUAUGGAAGAUCCUAAAUUGCAAAGAUUAGCUGUUGCCAGCUUCCAACCUGAGUCAAUGAAUGAAUUAACCCAAUCUGUAUAUCAUGAAUGCCAAAAUGCUGUAUCUGGUUAAGUAGGGGGAGAAAGGCAUUUGCUUUAUUUGCCUUGUUUACUCACCAUGCCCUGUACUGUCUGUAAUCAUGAAGAUAGAAUAAAUUAUAGCAUUU